rnacentral:lncRNA from 1 species
UUUUUUUUUUUUUUUUUUUUUUUUUUUUUAGCAAAAAAAAUUGGAUGGCCAGUGAAGAGAAGCAGCUUCUUCUGGGGCAUUAUUUGUUUAAUCACAAGGUAUUUCAAGCAGGUGAAAUACCCUGCACUCUGAGCAUGCUUGUGUUUUCCCACUGAGUAUAAGGGGAACUCAGGGUCAUUAGCUCAAAUGCAGACUGCUACACUGGAUGUAUCCGAAAAUAGAUGAGGGGAGACCUAAUGAGGGUGUGGUGACUUUCCCAGCCUAGUAAUGAUUCUUACUCAACAAGUGUUUGGUUUAAAUGGAAGAUGGUAAAUUCAGAGCAGUUUUUCCUUUCCUUUAAGUCUAACUUUAUUGUAAUCAUUUUAUAAAUAGGAUUUUGCUUCCAUGCAGUCCGUACAUGUAUCUCAUUUAAGGCAGUCACUUUAAUACUGCCUUACUAGUAAGAAAAGAGGCAUUUCUGAAGCCUGAUUCUUCUGACCCAUUUAAAACCCCUGUAUUAGGAUGAGGUGAAUUUCAGCAAAUUUAACUAUUUGCUGAAAACUGAAUCAAAACACUCGAUUCUGGGCAAUGCUGGCAACAGCUGUCUGUUUUUAGCCUUUGGAAAGGCUGAUACCACUGUGUCAGUUUCCUAUUUUGGUGGUUUCUGGGGGCUUAGCCCACUGUGCUGUGCAAACAUGCAGAAGCUGACAGCUCCCCUCUGAAGCCCACAGUACAUGAGGAGUGGUAACAGUGGAUGAAACAAAAAAGGAAAUAAGAUGACCUCUGCUCAGAUGCAGAGAUAAAAAUUAAGGCUAAUAAACCAUUAUUUCCCUUUGUUCUUGAAUAAAGUUUCUUUCACAGGCUUCUCUAAUAUAUGUGAAUUGAAAUUGGUUAAAAUUCAGGUUUCUUACAAUUUACAGCAAUAUAACUUUGUAUCUCUAAUGUCUUCUCCACUUUGGAAGGAGAUAAUUUCUGCUCAAAGGUCUUCAUGAACCUUUAAACCUGCAGUCAAUUUAAGGUCUUUAUAAAUGUUCUACUCAUUAAUGCUCCGGCUUUGGAGACAAGUCUUCCUGAGAGAUUUAAAACCACUUACAGCAAGACUAGUUAGUUGAAGGCAAAUUUUCAAGUGGUUCUUUUGAGUCAUCAACAGUUCAUGAUAGUUCAUCUUUUCUCUUGAAAGUUUCUGUGGAGGAGUACCAUGCAUCAGCAGGCAGCAGUGGGAGCCUGAUGAGGCAGAGGCAUAAAGCACAUUCAGCAUGGUAUGUAGACCACUUAUUUUCCUAUUAAAUAGUCAAAAGAAGAUGACUUUAUUGCCAGUUCUUGAGCAGCACCAGUAUUAAUGUGCUGUUUGCAUCUAGAGGUGACAGGAGCAGAUCUCACAUCCUGACUGUCUGAAGGCAUUCCAUGGCACUGCUGCUUGGGUGGCUCAGUCCCAUCCCCUUGCCUAGAGAAAGCUGCCCAGGUACAGCCCAGCAGUGGCUGUAGCAUUGCAAGGUGCAGCACGUGCAUGCCCUCCCCAUCAGCAGCUAUUCCACCGUGUUUACUCCUCAUCAGAAUGCUUCCUUGAGCUCAGACUGAAGGGUAAUGGAUCAGAAACAUAAAGGGCAGCUCUGGCCCAAAGUAGCAUCAGCUGGAGUUGAGAAAAUCCCUUCCAUGUCUCCAGCAGGUACUGUGUCAAGACUUUCACUGCCCUGAGCAGCCUUCUCCAAGCAGUCCCUGUCUGGAACGGGGUCUGAGACUUGAUGUCAUGGUGAGAUCCCUUCCAAUAUGCAUUAUCCUCUGGGUCUUGUUGAAGAUUCAGUGAUAGCUAGUUGCCACAGGAAGGAGCUUCCUGUUAGCACUUUCAGGAUGAAACAUGUUUCUCCUUAGUUAUUUCAUAUUAGUGUUCUCUCAGCAUAAAAUCAGCGCUCCAAACAUUUCUCGCUGUAAACGUCAUCUUACCACACCCCUCUUAAAAUGCAGAAAACAAGGCAUUUGUGACUGUAACCUUAUUUAAUCUGCCCUUGUUCUUCCUGACUUUGAACACCCACCUUUGUCUAUCAGCUCUCCAAAUGAAUCUCACUAGUGACUAAGGAGUUGCACAAACAGCUGGAUUUACAGAGGCAGCUCAGGCAGAGACUUUGCUUCUUGACUGCAUGAAAACAAUUAAUAAAAAAGCCUGAUCAAUUUAGGAACUUUAAAGGGGUAUCAAGUAUAAGACUAAUGUUCUUAGAUCAAGGCUGCUAUGUUACAACUAUAACUUUUAGGAAUACUUUAGCACUACAUGGUGCUCAUCAAAGGAAAGAAACGUUACAUCCUCUGUACUAUUCACCUCUUGCCCUGGUUCCCCAUAACCUAACCUAGUACAAGCAAAAUCAAACACAACAAAAAAAGAUCAAUGAGUCAUAAGGUAAUUAAAUACCAUUUUUCAAAGUUGAGAAGUGCUGCCUAAAAUGUAGAUUUAUAUGACGAGAGGGCCAUGUAUUUUAUAGGACAUGUGGGUAUUGGCUUUACUGAAAGAGCGUAGUUUUUGUUAAGAUAUUAGGCAGAAAUUCUUUAUUGUAAGGGUGGGGAGACACUGGCACAGAAAAAGCUGUCCCAGAGAUGCUGUGGAUGCCCCAUCCUCGGAAUUGUUCAAGGCCAGGUUGGAUGGGGCUUUGAGUAACCUGGUCUACAGGAGGGUGUCCCUGCCCAUGGCAGGAGGUUGGGACUUGAUCAUCUUUAAGGGUCACUUCUAACCCAAACUAUUUGAUAACAAUGAUGUCCCAGAUACCCACCAAGCCAGCAACAAGACUUCCUUGCUCUGGAGAAACCUGGAGAACAGGCUGUUACUUCAACAUCUGAACCCAACCCCUUUUGACUGGAGACCCCACUGAAGGGGCUGAGAAAAUUUUUAUAGGGGAUUUACAGUUUAUGGGUGUUCCACUAGCCAGAAAUGCACUGAGAUAGUGAAGAAACUGAGGAGGAGGAGGGAGCAUACAAGCAGAUAAGCCCAGUGGUCAUCGCUGGAGGUAUCAAGGCAGUACAUGCUCAGGCAGCCAUUCAAGGCCUGUUUUAAGAGCAGCUUGAAGUACCACAAUCCUUACUUGGGUUUUUCCUAUACACCCAGCCUGGGACAGUGUGCCAGCUUCCUGAUUAAGCCAUUUGAUACAGUGAGGCAAGUGGUGUCCCAUGUGCUCCAGAGAGUGAGCUCUGGUUGCAUUUGAGAACCACACUUGGAAGAUUACCCUCUGCCUUGCCACAAGACUCAUGAGGAACUCAGCUCUGGGUCACUGUUCAAGGACACUAUAAACACAUCCAGUACAUGCUCCUCAAAGAAAGAUGCAGUCUGAACAGAAACUGCAGAACUGAAAAUGUGGACUAUAUAGUGAGAGAGCAUCUAACCUGGGAAUUGCGACAAACCAGCUCAUUUCAAGAGCAGGUGGGAAAUUGCAGUGUCCAAAGGAAAACAGUCAGCAGGAACCUUCAUGAGAACUCCUGACUAUGAAAUCAGGCUCUUAACAGUGCGUAAGGAUGGACAAGUGUGCUUCCCUAAGAGCAAUUAAGAUGUCAAGUUACCGUGAAAAAAGAGCUGGACAGAGUUAGUCCUGUCUUGCAGCAAAUAGAGAGAUUCUGCGAGACUUUAGAUCUGUGAAUUAAGUUCUCAACCUGGAGGCUUCAUUCAGCCCACUGAAACAGGGCUUGUUCCUCAUGGCAGCUCCAUGAGUACCUUUCUGCAAGAUACAGGAAGCCUGAGUGGGCAUUUAGUCUUUGUUCAGUUAAGAGAAAGCACUUUGUGUCUCUAGGACAGACACACUUCUGCAUGUUGGGGACCAGCACAGAACACAGCCUUUUGUUUUUACCCAUCAUCUAUCCAUAGGAAGCUCCGGAACAGCCAGGAACAGACAGAAUCCUGUUACAUGUUCACCCUAGAGCUUUCCAGACACCCUGCCUAGGCAUGCCUUACACUACAUUGCCAUACUGAGGCCACAUUUCUCUGCCAGGGAGGUUAGGUACAUGAGAAUCCCAGCAAGAGGACACCUCCGCUUGCACCUGGGCCAUGCUUGCAAACUUGGUGCCUGUAUAGAUAACAAUUCUAAUUUGCAGGCCAUGUCUCUCAUGCAAGGUAGACGUAACCACUAUGUCCUCCAGAAUCAGCUACUCUUCCAUUACAGUCAAUGUGAACAUUGCAGCUAAUUGUGAACACAUUUUAGAUCGUCAUAGUGUUUUUAUUAUCCUUGGAUGCUGCUAUUUUAUAUUCUGUGUUAGUAUUCAAAUAAUAUUGCAUAUGAAUAGCAUAGGGUGAAAUAGACCAACCAGUUAAUAAUUUUAAAUACAGACCUCAUCAGCAAAGAAAAGCUAGAGAAAACUUGGUAAAAUCUGACCCCUUGCACUGUCAUAGUAGUGAGUGAGCACAUCAUAUUUCAAAGUGGUUUAUUUGAUGCUAAAGUGUGUGUUGUCUUAAUAAUUCAGUUAUAUCCAUGGGAAGCUUUGCAAACAAGAGCAAGGGAACAAACAUAAUGAUGAGCAGAGAUAACGUGCAUUCAGAUAAAUUUUCUUUACUUACUCAAGCAAUUGGAGUUUUUAAUUAUUUAUAAUACUUUUAAAGUACAAGUUAAAUGUACCACAGCCUUUCUGCAGAUAAGUUGGUGUUAGCAAUUUAAGUCUUCAUUUCAUGUCACCUCUGUAAUAUAAGUGGUGUUGAGAAGUGAGACAAGAAAGUGAAGAAACAGGCCUUUUUGUGUGGAUCAAUGAAGCAGUUAAGUUGCAAAGCUCUAUGCAGAGGGCUAAAAUGGUGGAUUUGAUCAAGGAGUGUUAACUAUGGGGUUGUGUCAACUAUGACCUAUCAAUCUUAUGAUAAAAGCACUGUGAGUCAUUCAUAGAUUAACAGAAGUCACUUAUGUCUAUGAAUAACUCUGCCCUCUGUUUUUCAUCAGAAGCAAAGCAAAACAUCUGAACUAUCCACAAGUAUUACUCAUGGUUUGUGACAUUCUGUAAACCGGCAUAGGUCGCUGUAUAAAGAACAAUACUUGGGCUCUUGCCUCUGAAGAAUGAAAAAUCACAGACAUAGCUUCAGGAGUGCGAGGGAUCUGGGCAGCUCGGAGUCCUCCAACCAGCCCCAGAGUACUCUAUUCCACUCCAUGUCGUACCAAGAAAGAUGGAACGACUGCUAACCAAGGGGACACUUUCACAAGCAUUCCUCCUGCUACCUUUGAUUUGAGGCAUUCUGAAGACAACACAUUUAUUCUGAACAAUAAAACAACUUUUUAAUGCACUCCACUUUCUUUGGCCAGAAUUAUCCUAUUGUAAAAGGGACUAUUCACGUCUUGUGUUUUAAUGUUAAUAAAGUUAUUU